ACCCGUGCACAGAACAGAUGAUACUUUGUAUCUCUAGUUUUGCUUGUGGUGCUGCCUGUGCAGCUAGAAGGCUUUGACACUAAAGUGAUUGAUCUUGACUUUUGAUCUUCACACAGACAUUUGGAUGGAUGUUAUCUGUACCUGGCUUAAAGAGCUUCACAUUUCUUUCGGAGGACCAAAGGCAGAAGAGUGAUCACUUAGCUAAACAUCUCUGCUGAGACACAGACUGCAGCUGCAAAACAUGAAUCACACCUUGAAAAGGCAGAAUGUGUCAUGUAAUUAUACAGCUGGUCCGCUGGAGAAGACUGUGCUUCCUGUUCUGUAUUCUUUCAUAAUUUGCAGUGGAUUGCCAGCCAAUUUCCUAGCCUUGUUGAUAUUUACAAGGCAGUCUGUGAAGAAACAUGGGAUCUUUGUUUAUCUAGUGAACCUGUCAGUGGCUGAUCUGAUUAAUUGCCUGGUCCUUCCAUUCAGAAUAGCUCUGCUUAUUACAGGUGAUGCCUUGGAAGAAAAUUCUGGGGCAUGUAUGUUUGUAACAGCAAUCGUUAACUUGGGUUUUUAUUCUACACUGGCAUGCAGGACAUUCUGCAUUAUCUUCAUAAGCAUUAGCAGGUAUGUAAUGAUUGUGAGGUACCACAAUAACAAAUUGAAUGCAUUUAAUGAUGUAACCUUUGCAAAGUACGCUUGUAUUGUGUCUUGGGCCCUGGGGAUCCUGAUUGUGUCAAUACCUUUAAU